rnacentral:rRNA from 1 species
GAUGAACGCUAGCGGCAGGCUUAAUACAUGCAAGUCGAACGGUAACAGGUCUUCGGACGCUGACGAGUGGCGCACGGGUGAGGAACACGUACACAAUCUACCUUAUACUGGAGAAUAGCCCCGGGAAACUGGGAUUAAUACUCCAUAGUCUUUAAUGAUCACAUGAGAAAUAAAGUAAAGCUUCGGCGGUAUGAGAUGAGUGUGCGUCCCAUUAGAUUGUUGGUGAGGUAACGGCUCACCAAGUCGACGAUGGGUAGCUGGCGUGAGAGCGCGACCAGCCACACUGGCACUGAGACACGGGCCAGACUCCUACGGGAGGCAGCAGUAGGGAAUAUUGGUCAAUGGACGAAAGUCUGAACCAGCCAUGCCGCGUGGAGGAUGGCUGCCCUCUGGGUUGUAAACUCCUUUUAUAUGGGAAGAACCUCUGGAUUCACUCCAGAGCUGACGGUAUCAUAUAGAAUAAGCACCGGCUAACC